UUUCCGUAGGUGAACCUGCGGAAGGAUCAUUGUCGAAACCUGCCCAGCAGAACGACCCGCAAACUUGUAUAAACAACUGGGGGCGGAGGGGGCGUUCUCGCCCCGUGCCCCCGAACGGCGGGGAGACACUCGUGCCUUCCUGCCGAACAACGAACCCCGGCGCGGUCUGCGCCAAGGAACUUCAACUAAAGAGGGCCUCCGGUCGCCUCGGAAACGGCGUGCGUGCCGGAGGCGAAUCUUGUGCAAGACCAUAACGACUCUCGGCAACGGAUAUCUCGGCUCUC
rnacentral:misc_RNA from 1 species